CAAAAUUAUAUAUGUCAACUAUAAAUAGCAAGUGAUGAAUCAGAAACUAUAGACGAGAGAUUAAAGAGUUGCAGAAACAGCUUGGUGUAGUAAUUGACAUGAAUAUGAGACUUUUCUUUAAGUUCAUGACCCUCUCCUUCUUCCUCCUCCUCCUCCUCCUCCUCCUCCUGAUCGGAAGCAGCAGUGUUGAUGGAAGAAAAGAAGCUGGAGGAGAGUACUGGGGAAGUGUAAUGAAAGGGCAGGCAAUGCCAGAAGUAGUUGAAGCCCUUACUUAUCCAAACUCUCCUACUACUACUCAACCUCAGCAAACACAACCCAAAAGAGAGUCAAGAAACUUCGAGGAUGCUUGGCGUUAAUACAUCUAUAUAUAUAUAUAUAUAUAAUAUCUUAUCAUGCCAUGGCAACUCCAGGCCAAACCACUGUACCCACUUUAAUUACUUUCAUCUUGUUCAACCAGGUAAUAAUAUAUAUUAAGCAGUGCCAAUAAAUGGACUUACGUUGAA